GUAGGUGGCAAGCGUUGUCCGGAAUUAUUGGGCGUAAAGCGCGCGCAGGCGGUCCUUUAAGUCUGAUGUGAAAGCCCACGGGCUCAACCGUGGAGGGUCAUUGGAAACUGGGGGACUUGAGUACAGAAGAGGAAAGUGGAAUUCCACGUGUAGCGGUGAAAUGCGUAGAGAUGUGGAGGAACACCAGUGGCGAAGGCGACUUUCUGGUCUGUAACUGACGCUGAGGCGCGAAAGCGUGGGGAGCAAACAGGAUUAGAUACCCUGGUAGUCCACGCCGUAAACGAUGAGUGCUAAGUGUUAGAGGGUUUCCGCCCUUUAGUGCUGCAGCUAACGCAUUAAGCACUCCGCCUGGGGAGUACGGUCGCAAGACUG
rnacentral:rRNA from 1 species